rnacentral:rRNA from 1 species
CUGCUGCCUUCCGUAGGAGUCUGGUCCGUGUCUCAGUACCAGUGUGGGGGACCUUCCUCUCAGAACCCCUACGCAUCGUCGUCUUGGUGGUCCGUUACACCACCAACUAACUAAUGCGACGCAUGCCCAUCCGCCACCGGAAUUAACCUUUGGCACCAACAGGAUGUCCCGUCGAUGCAUUAUGCCGUAUUAGACGGAAUUUCUCCCGAUUAUCCGGCUGUGGCAGGCAGGUUGCAUACGUGUUACUCACCCGUGCG